rnacentral:rRNA from 1 species
UACGUAGGGGGCUAGCGUUGUCCGGAUUUAUUGGGCGUAAAGAGCGUGUAGGCGGCCAAGUAGGUCCGGUGUGAAAACUCGAGGCUUAACCUCGAGAUGUCAUCGGAAACCAUUUGGCUAGAGUCCGGAAGAGGAAAGUGGAAUUCCUGGUGUAGCGGUGAAAUGCGCAGAUAUCAGGAGGAACACCGGUGGCGAAGGCGGAUCUCUGGGCCUUACCUGACGCUCAGGCGCGAAAGCUAGGGGAGCGAACAGG